CUUUUUUGGCGAGACUGCAGAUUUUCUUCGGCCACCUUUGGGUUUAGCAAAUUCCUUCACCUUGAACUCAAGCCUUGGAGAAUAAUGGAACCUCACCCAUUCCUGCCUAACCUCUUCUUCGGUACCCUCAUUCCUCUUCUUCGGUACCCUCAUUCCUCAUCACUAUCUCAAGACCCCUGCAGGGGUUAGAAGGGAAAACAAAUCUAUGAGAAGGUGAGUGAGGUCACUAGACAUUGUGGGGGGAGUAGGAAGGGCAGAGAUGUGCUGAAAAAUAUUUAAUAACUGGAUCUCCAAAAAAAAGUGUAUUACCUCUUUUCCCUUAAAGCUCAUUCAACCUGCCUUAUGUAACCAAAGGCAUUUCCAGGUGCUAUGGUGACCAUUCUGGGAGAACAACCAUCUCCUCUCCCCACUGAGCUUUCAUUGAAGCACAAGAAUGCAAAUGCAUGUUAUUGAUUUGUUCCAGAUUAUUAGAAGAGAUCCAAAUUUAAACACCAUUUUUUGAGAGGUAAGAA